AAAAGAUCAAUUUGUCAACAUGUUGUUUUUACUGUACUCACGUACUCCAUUUUGGAUGAAUAUUGUGGUAGGGCCAAUACUUUCGUACCUUUCCAUUGUGAUGAACAUUAUCAUCUUUGUGGCUUUAUUUCAUAAAAAGAUAAGGUCACCUACAACAGUAGUAAUGCAAGGAUUGGCGCUGGCUGACGGACUCACUGCGUUUUGUACCUAUGGAUUUGAACCUUUUUUCAAUUUUCAUUAUGAAGUGAUAGGAAAUGAUAGUAUUGAUGACAUAAAUAAUACUAGUACAGAGAUGGAAGAACUAAAAAAACUAGUUGGACUGAAGUUUCCGUAUUGUCUCAUACAUUUUUGUCUUACAAACCUAGGAGACACAUUCCACCUUGUGUCUAUACUCUUGACAGCGUCUCUUGGGAUACAGAAACUCCUGGCUGUGUUAUGUCCAAUAUGGAGCAAAAUUCAUAUCAAUAAUCAAAAAUCGUGCAUUGUUUGCUGCUCGUAUUUUUUGUUUACUCUGGUCGUCAACGUGCCAAGACUAUUCGUAAUAAGUCUAAGUCGUGGUACAGAAGGAGAUGUAUGUUUAGUCUCUGACCCACAACUUUCAGUUCAGAAAUAUAUUCUAGCAUACUAUCCGAUCAUAUACUCCAUUAUUUUGGUUAUUGCAGUAGUAACAAUGCUUAUAUCAACAUUCUAUAUUAUAUAUAUACUGUGCCGUCGGAAACGUGUCCGUGGACAUGCUGCGGCUUCCAGAGCUGAAAAAAAAUCUUGUAUAUUGAUUGUGUGCGUAAUGACGGUCUUUUUUCUUGCAGAGGUCCCAAGGCUUUAUGUCAACUCAACUAUAUUCAGUACCUAUAACCUCAAUUUGGAAAUGCAGAAAAAAUAUAGUAAUGACAUGCAUAAUAUUGCCUUACAGAAACUGUCGACCGAGGCUGUCCAAACGUAUUCAUCAUGUUUUGAUGAUAGCUUGCUCCUUAUCAUAAGAGAGACCUGCCUCUCUGAUUUUAAUGAACUGCCAUCACAUUCUAAAAAAAGGAUGGUUAAUCGAGUGGAAUUUUCUUUAAAGGUUUCGAAAUUUUAUCGAUUUUUUGUGGAUAAGAUUUUUAAAGAUCAAUUUAAACAAAUCUAUAAUGAAUAUCUAAAGGACGCCCUUGUUCAUCUUAUAUAUUUACGUCAGAAAAGAAGGUUUAAAAUAUUCCAACAGUUCUUCUAUAAUUAUACAACAUUCAAAUAUUGCAAUAAAAGAUCAAAUAACACAUAUUCCGAUCAUCUGUACCACUGUUUUGCGGAAAAAGACAAAAACUAUAGUUUUGAAGUACUUAUUUUGUCACCGUACAGCGAACCAAUGAACUACUUACUAAAUAUCAUCUGGGGACAUAUUAAUAUUAACUUGGAACAUUUAAAACUUCUCAUUGAAAUUUUAAAACUUUCAAUGAUCAUUGGCUGCGCUUCAAACUUUCUUAUAUAUAUAGCUAUGAGUGAAAAACUAAGAGAUGCUUUGAAAAAGAUGUUUAAUUGCAGUUAACAUCAGACAAUAGGAUGAAUUCCAAACAAGAACUUAAAAAGAGGAUACCGGACAUGUUAUUUUUAGUGUUAUAGAAUUACUGGUAUAUAAUGUGCUUAUACCCUAUAGGAAGAUGACACAUAUCUAGUUGCUACUUAGUUUGAUAUUCGUCGAAAAAAUGGUGAAAAGUGGUUUAAAGUUUUAACCCUGGAAACGAUUCCCACCAAAUACAUUUUAUACUUCCCGGAGCGUUCUGAUAUUUCACCCAAAAUAUUUACUUACUAUACGAAAACAGUAGGUAUACAUGCUAGCUUUUUGAUAGUGAGUUCAAAUUUAUCAAUUCGUUGCCUGCUUUGUCGAAUAGUUACUAGUACAUCGCUAUCUAAUUUGAUAAGUUUUGUAACAGGACAUUUAUCAAAAAUGACCAUAUAAUUGAUAUUCAUGUCAACAUUAAAGGGCUGACUACUGGGCUGGUUAUACCCUCAGGGACGAAACGUCCACCAGCAGUUGCAUUGACCCAGUGACGUAAAUAGUUAAAAGUACCAUGAUUAUAAUUUAAUAUGCCAGACUUGCGUUUUGUCUUCAUAAGACGCAUCAGUGACGCUCAGAUCAAAAUAGUUAUAAAGCCAAACACAUACAUAGUUGAAGAGCAUUGAGGACCCCC
rnacentral:lncRNA from 1 species